rnacentral:rRNA from 1 species
AGAGUUUGAUCCUGGCUCAGAGUGAACGCUGGCGGCGUGCCUAAUACAUGCAAGUCGAACGAUGAAGUCCUAGCUUGCUAGGAUGGAUUAGUGGCGCACGGGUGAGUAAUAUAUAGUUAAUCUGCCCUACACAGAGGAACAACAGUUGGAAACGGCUGCUAAUACCUCAUACUCCUAUUUGACAUAAGUUAAAUAGGGAAAGUCUUUUCGGUGUAGGAUGAGACUAUAUCGUAUCAGCUAGUUGGUAAGGUAAUGGCUUACCAAGGCUAUGACGCGUAACUGGUCUGAGAGGAUGAUCAGUCACAUUGGAACUGAGACACGGUCCAAACUCCUACGGGAGGCAGCAGUAAGGAAUAUUGCGCAAUGGGGGAAACCCUGACGCAGCAACGCCGCGUGGAGGAUGACACUUUUCGGAGCGUAAACUCCUUUUAUCAGGAAAGAAUAAUGACGGUACCUGAUGAAUAAGCACCGGCUAACUCCGUGCCAGCAGCCGCGGUAAUACGGGGGGUGCAAGCGUUACUCGGAAUCACUGGGCGUAAAGGACGCGUAGGCGGAUUAUCAAGUCUUUUGUGAAAUCUAGUGGCUUAACCACUAAACUGCUUAGGAAACUGAUAGUCUAGAGUAGGGGAGAGGUAGAUGGAAUUCUUGGUGUAGGGGUAAAAUCCGUAGAGAUCAAGAAGAAUACCCAUUGCGAAAGCGAUCUGCUGGAACCUAACUGACGCUGAGGCGUGAAAGCGUGGGUAGCAAACAGGAUUAGAUACCCUGGUAGUCCACGCCCUAAACGAUGUAUACUAGUUGUUGCUUUGCUAGUCAAGGCAGUAAUGCAGCUAACGCAUUAAGUAUACCGCCUGGGGAGUACGGUCGCAAGAUUAAAACUCAAAGGAAUAGACGGGGACCCGCACAAGCGGUGGAGCAUGUGGUUUAAUUCGAAGAUACGCGAAGAACCUUACCUGGACUUGACAUCCUAAAAACAUCUAAGAGAUUAGAAAGUGCUAGUUUACUAGAAUUUAGUGACAGGUGCUGCACGGCUGUCGUCAGCUCGUGUCGUGAGAUGUUGGGUUAAGUCCCGCAACGA